AUUGAACGCUGGCGGCAGGCCUAACACAUGCAAGUCGAGCGAGCGGCGGACGGGUGAGUAAUGUAUGGGGACUGCCCGAUAGAGGGGUAUAACUACUGGAAACGGUGGCUAAUACCGCAUACUAUCGGAUAACCCAUAUGGGAUUAGCUAGUAUGUGGGGUAAAGGCUGACCUAGGCGACGAUCUCUAGCUGGUCUGAGAGGAUGGUCAGCCACACUGGGACUUAGACACGGCCCAGACUCCUACGGAGGCAGCAGGGGGGAAUAUUGAACAAUGGGCGCAAGCCUGAUGCAGACAUGCCGCGUGUAUGAAGAAGGCAUUAGGGUUGGAAAGUACUUUCAGCGAGGAGGCGUUACUCGCAGAAGAAGCACCGGCUAACUCCGUGCCAGCAGCCGCGGUAAUUC
rnacentral:rRNA from 1 species